GCUUCUGGUGCGAAUCGAACCCACGACCCCUACAUUGGUAAUCCAAGCACGCUACCAACUCGGCUACCGGGGCGAAGUAGAUAACUCAGUUUAUUUCCUGACGAUCGAAGCUAAAAACGGUUGAUAAUUUCCGUACUUUUGGAUUUUUUUAUUACUUUGUGUCACCCUGUGAUUUUAUAAAUUUUUGUGCUAUCGAAAGUUAGCGAUGUCAUUUGCUUUACGCAGAUUUAAUUUCUUAGUUAACUUACUAAUAUCCUUAAUUUCUAGGUCUUCGGUUUAAGGGCAUAACAGGGACACUCAAUUUCUACACUACAUUUUUCAAUAUUCUGAGAGGCUAGCAAAAAAGAUGGAAGCAGAUAAUAAUGGGGUGCUACCAAACUACAUAAUGAAGAUUGUAAAUUCUUUCAUUUUUCUUAUAUGCCGACAGGAGAAGACUUGGACAAGAUAAUUUAGAUUGUCCAAGCAUAGAAGAGAUUGACGAAAAUGUCAAAAGG
rnacentral:sRNA from 1 species